AUCAACCUCCGGCAUGGCGUCAACCCGCACCUAUAUCGGCCGCCAGGGGUUGCGCUCGGAUGCUCGGAUGGCGUCCACGAUGACGACUACACCCUCGGCAAGCUCAACCCCGACGCCGCCUCAUCUUCCUCAACUCCGUCGCCUCGUCGUCUAUCUACACCGUUGCGACGUCUCGAGGGUGGGAACUCUGUGGCCAGUUCCCCUCGCCGACCACCACAUCGGUCGGUUUCCACGACCCCGUUCGCUAGCCGCGAAGACAGUGACGCCGAUGUCAGGGACUUGGGAUCUAUGCCUGCACAUGUGUCUGUCAUGGCUAGCGAUGCUCCUGGGACCCUUGAGCCGGUGGUGGUAACCGAAAAAAGUGAACUCUGUUCUGGGCCAUCUCCUUCACCACCAACCCAUAUUCUCUUCUCUACUGCAAAUUAAUAGCCAUGAGGUUUUGAACCCUUUUCUAAUUGUUCUAUGAGUGGUUACCAGCAAGGGCGCCCUCGCCAUGAACAGGUGCGAGCUCGUUCGCCGUCAGCAGCUGCGACCUCGACUAUUACCUUGAGCAUCUACGGGAGCUUGUUGGUAUACCUCCACACACCCAUUUUUCAGCUACUAUCUUGAAGUUAGUUUCAGAUCUCACUGUUAAUUGCCCCAAAAUAACAUGAUUUCACUACGGACUACAUACGGAUACCGACCUCUGGAGUCUGGAAGUUCAUGUGUGUCCAUCGCAAGCAUCACAAGAAGAUCAUUGGCAACACCAUCAAAGUGUGUGGCAGAGACAUUGUGUGCUGCACUAGGAGUCUAGGACUUCAAUUCAAGACGCACAAGAACUUGCUCAUGGACGUGCCUUCACGAUUUCUCUCAAGAAGUACACACGUGAUGUCUGAUCCUUACUAUGUGGUACAGGUCCCUAGGUUCCUUAUUCGCACCAGAUUUGGUCCGUGGGCUGCAUUUUGAUAAAUGACAGUUGAGUUGAUCGCAACCAUGGCACUUUCCCUGGAGAAGGUGGCCUAGCUCUGCUCCUACACACUUUGAUGUUGUUGGGCACUUGAAAUGAGGAUGUCUCGCCAUAAGUAGGCAAGCUCCCGAACUCGCACGAGCACCCUCGAUGGAACGUCUCAUACUCAUCUUCUAUAAUUUUCAGACUCGAUGAUGGUUGUUUUGAUAUGCUUGAGCAUGGCUCCUCGAGGAUGGUAUUUAAGCGACGGUAUAAUAAUAAUUGGUUCUAUUUAUAUACACUGGAUUUGUUUAAGUGAAGAUGAUAUAUUCCAGGCAGUGUGUGAAUUUUGUCCAUAAUGCUCUAAUUCCAGUAGAGAUGGAGGAGUAACCUGCAAUUCUGUCCACAAUUGUGGUACCAGCCCAAGAAGUAACCUACGAUGAAUUGCUCAACAAAACUUGAAGGCGCCUAGCAGAGUAUUAUUCUUCGAGGUCUUGGCCUAGCUAUGUUAGUAGACAAGCUAAAUUUUCUGCACAUGUAUGUGCAAAAACAAGUAUUCCCUGUAAAUGACAUGUGUGUGCAUAUCAGCUUUAUUUGUAUUAUAAGCUCUGUGUCUAAGCAAACAUUGCUGAGAAAUCUUCUACAUGAUUCUCAUUGUCUA